CCUACGUGGGGCAGCAGUGAGGAAUAUUGGUCAAUGGGCGCGAGCCUGAACCAGCCAAGUAGCGUGAAGGAUGACUGCCCUACGGGUUGUAAACUUCUUUUAUAAAGGAAUAAAGUGAGGCACGUGUGCCUUUUUGUAUGUACUUUAUGAAUAAGGAUCGGCUAACUCCGUGCCAGCAGCCGCGGUAAUACGGAGGAUACGAGCGUUAUCCGGAUUUAUUGGGUUUAAAGGGAGCGUAGAUGGGUUGUUAAGUCAGUUGUGAAAGUGUGCGGCUCAACCGUAAAAUUGCAAUUGAUACUGGCAGUCUUGAGUACAGUUGAGGUAGGCGGAAUUCGUGGUGUAGCGGUGAAAUGCUUAGAUAUCACGAAGAACUCCGAUUGCGAAGGCAGCUUACUAAACUGCCACUGACAUUGAUGCUCGAAAGUGUGGGUAUCAAACAGGAUUAGAUACCCGUGUAGUC
rnacentral:rRNA from 1 species